CAUUCCCGUAAAGAAUUUUCUCUUUAUUUGAACAUUACUUCUUUUUUUUUCUUAUUAUGACUUGAAUAAAAAA
rnacentral:tRNA from 1 species